rnacentral:rRNA from 1 species
CCUACGGGUGGCAGCAGUGGGGGAUAUUGCACAAUGGGGGAAACCCUGAUGCAGCGACGCCGCGUGUGGGAUGACGGUCCUCUGGAUUGUAAACCACUGUCCCCAGGGACGAAGAUGACGGUACCUGGGGAGGAAGCUCCGGCUAACUACGUGCAAGCAGCCGCGGUAAUACGUAGGGAGCAAGCGUGGUCCGGAAUUACUGGGUGUAAAGGGAGCGUAGGCGGGAUGGAAAGUUGGGUGUUAAAUCUACCGGCUAAACUGGUAGUCGCACUUAAAACUGCUAUUCUUGAGUGAAGUAGAGGCAGGCGGAAUUCCUAGUGUAGCGGUGAAAUGCGUAGAUAUUAGGAAGAACACCAGUGGCGAAGGCGGCCUGCUGGGCUUUUACUGACGCUGAGGCUCGAAAGUGUGGGGAGCAAACAGGAUUAGAUACCCCUGUAGUC